AGACCCGAAACCCGGUGAUCUAGCCAUGGGCAGGUUGAAGGUUGGGUAACACUAACUGGAGGACCGAACCGACUAAUGUUGAAAAAUUAGCGGAUGACCUGUGGCUGGGGGUGAAAGGCCAAUCAAACCGGGAGAUAGCUGGUUCUCCCCGAAAGCUAUUUAGGUAGCGCCUCGUGAAUUCAUCUCCGGGGGUAGAGCACUGUUUCGGCCAGGGGGCCAUCCCGGCUUACCAAUCCGAUGCAAACUGCGAAUACCGGAGAAUGUUAUCACGGGAGACACACGGCGGGUGCUAACGUCCGUCGUGAAGAGGGAAACAACCCAGACCGCCAGCUAAGGUCCCAAAGUCAUGGUUAAGUGGGAAACGAUGUGGGAAGGCCCAGACAGCCAGGAUGUUGGCUUAGAAGCAGCCAUCAUUUAAAGAAAGCGUAAUAGCUCACUGGUCGAGUCGGCCUGCGCGGAAGAUGUAACGGGGCUAAACCAUGCACCGAAGCUGCGGCAGCGAACGUAUCACCCAAGACAACUUUACACAGUUGACGCCUGACGGAGCGAAGCGACGUCAAAGCGUUUUACAACGUCGAGUUGGCUUAGGGAUACGUUCGUUGGGUAGGGGAGCGUUCUGUAAGCCGUUGAAGGUGUGUCGUGAGGCAUGCUGGAGGUAUCAGAAGUGCGAAUGCUGACAUAAGUAACGAUAAAGCGGGUGAAAAGCCCGCUCGCCGGAAGACCAAGGGUUCCUGUCCAACGUUAAUCGG
rnacentral:rRNA from 1 species